rnacentral:lncRNA from 1 species
GGGAAGCUUGACUCCACAAACAAAGUAAUCCUUUUGGUCAUUCAGAUCAAUGGGGUAGAUGUAGGAUAGCUCUGAGAGCAACUGCUUGCAUCGAAUAGUCUGCUGGGCAUUGGUCUUCAGAAACAGUUCUCUCUUUGCAGUGCAUUCUUUUCUUAACUCAUGCAGGGAUUCAUUCCGCUCUUGAUGCUUCUGGUACUCAGUCUCAAAUGCAUUUCCUCUGUCAUGUAAAGCAUUCUUUUCCUUAUGUAACAAAGCUACUUCUUGACCAAGGGCCUUCCUCUGCCUCUCCAGUUCAUUCCGUAGCACCAGGAUCUUCAAUUGUAAACAUUCACUCUCCUUUUUCAGUUCGUUGCUUGUAGAUGUGCAUCUCAGCUUUUCUUCAAUCUC